AUCGUAGUGUGAAUUGCAGAAUUCCGCGAAUCAUCGAGUCUUUGAACGCAAGUUGCGCCCGAGGCUUGUCCAAGGGCAUUUCCGCUAGAGCGUCACC
rnacentral:rRNA from 1 species